UUAUAAGCAAAUGUUUGCAUUUUAGAUUCAUUCGGUUAAUGAUAUAUAUGAUCUUUAUUAUAAACCACAUACAUCAUUUAAUGAAUGAAUCUAAAAUGCAAACUUUUGCUUAUAA
rfam:Medicago truncatula strain A17 chromosome 2, whole genome shotgun sequence.